rnacentral:rRNA from 1 species
GCGACCAUACCACGUUGGAAGCGGCGGUUCUCGUCUGAUUACCGAGGUUAAACAAAACUGCGAGCCCGGUAGUUACUUGUACGGCGUUUACCUGGCUGGAAAUACUGAGGGUUGGUGGGCCG